rnacentral:rRNA from 1 species
GUCUUUUAGAAAAUAAUUUAAAGUCUAACCUGCCCACUGAAUAAUUUUGAAGGGCCGCAGUAUUUUGACUGUGCAAAGGUAGCAUAAUCAUUAGUCUUUUAAUUGAAGGCUUGUAUGAAUGGUUGGAUGAAAUAUUAACUGUCUCAAAUUAAUAAAAUAGAAUUUAAUUUUUAAGUUAAAAAGCUUAGAUAAGAUUAGAGGACGAGAAGACCCUAUAGAUCUUUAUAUUUUUAUUUUUAAUUUUUAUUUAGAGUAAAAAAUAUUUUUAGUAAUAAUAAUAUUUUAUUGGGGUGAUAAUUAAAUUUAAUUAACUUUAUUUAAUAAAAACAUUAAUUUAUGAAUAAUUGAUCCAUUAUUAGUGAUUAUAAGAUUAAGUUACCUUAGGGAUAACAGCGUAAUUUUUUUAGAGAGUUCUUAUCGAUAAAAAAGUUUGCGACCUCGAUGUUGAAUUAAAGAUUAAUUUAGGUGCAGUAGUUUAAAUGUUUGGUCUGUUCGACCAUUAAAUC